UCAUGGGCGCGAGCCUGAACCAGCCAAGUAGCGUGAAGGAUGAAGGCUCUAUGCCNUCGUAAACUUCUUUUAUAUGGGAAUAAAGUAUUCCACGUGUGGAAUUUUGUAUGUACCAUAUGAAUAAGGAUCGGCUAACUCCGUGCCAGCAGCCGCGGUAAUACGGAGGAUCCGAGCGUUAUCCGGAUUUAUUGGGUUUAAAGGGAGCGUAGGUGGAUUGUUAAGUCAGUUGUGAAAGUUUGCGGCUCAACCGUAAAAUUGCAGUUGAAACUGGCAGUCUUGAGUACAGUAGAGGUGGGCGGAAUUCGUGGUGUAGCGGUGAAAUGCUUAGAUAUCACGAAGAACUCCGAUUGCGAAGGCAGCUCACUAGACUGUUACUGACACUGAUGCUCGAAAGUGUGGGUAUCAAACAGGAUUAGAUACCCUGGUAGUCCAAGGGCGAAUUC
rnacentral:rRNA from 1 species